AUUUUACAGAAAUUUCAGGUUAAUUGAUGGGCCUAUAGAAAAAGAUAAUUGCAACAUGUGCAAAGGGUAUAAGCUGGUCCAAAAGGGAAAGUUUGUUGGUUCUCAAGUGGCAUAGUAGGUCACUGGUGGUAGACUAUAGUACAAUGAACAUUACCUUUUAUACUUGUUAUGAUAUUGAUAUCAUUUUUAGGAGGUAAAUAAUGAUAGUUGUUGAGAUUAUGCUAUGCUAAUUUCCUCAUUAAUGAUGGUUAUAUGUUUAAAGCAACCAACUCAUAUGUUGCUUGUACUUGAGAUUUUCAUGGCUGGAGAUGCAUACAAGUGGUUAAUUUUGCUUUGACCAAAGCAACUGUUGUCAAUUUUGGGCUUUAUCGGUUAAGAUCAGUCUAUUAUGGUCUUAAACAAGGUUUUAAAUAUUUCUUCAAGCUUCUUGUAGUGUUCAAGCUGUUUUUUAUGUGCCUGAUGAGUGGCAUCUUGACCAACAUAGAGUUGCUAAAUUGCAUGUGGGAGGAGUGUUUCUCGCUUGUGUUCUUCCC
rnacentral:misc_RNA from 1 species